rnacentral:lncRNA from 1 species
GAUUUUGGGGCCAUUUUCAUCCCAAUUUUGGGGCCAUUUUCAUCCCAAUUUUGGGGCCAUUUUCAUCCCAAUUUUGGGGCCAUUUUCAAUGGGAUUUUGGGUCCAAUCUCAGCGAUUUUGGGGCCAUUUUCAGUGGGAUUUUGGGGCCAUUUUCAAUGGGAUUUUGGGGCCAAUCUCAGCGAUUUGGGGGCCACUUUCAACCCAAAUUUGGUGCCAUUUUCAAUGGGAUUUUGGGGCCAUUUUCAAUGGGAUUUUGGGGCCAUUUUCAACCCGAUUUUGGUGCUAUUUUCAAUGGGAUUUUGGCCAUUUUUGCCACAAUUUGGGGCCAAUUGUGAGCGGACCGGUGCCCCUCACCGCAGGGCGCGGCUCAGCUUGUCGUAGUUCAUGUGGGGCUUGCACUUGCGCGCGCCCCACAGCCGCGCCACCUCGUCGGGGUCCUUGAUGACGAACUCGCCGUAGUCGCCCUGCCAGGCGAUGACGUGCCGGUAGCGCUCCUGGCGCAGCAGCUCCAGGAUGAAGUGCCACAGCUGGAUCUGCCGCGAGCCGGGGCUCGACUCCGCCUUGUACGCCCACUCCGGGAACGCCAGCCCUAUGGGGAGGGCAGAUGUGGGGCUG